GCAUGGACUCCACGUGUGAUUUCUUUCCUUUUCUUCCUUAUUUCUGUUUUGCUUUCUUCCUUUGCUCUGUUUUUGGUUGAGGAAAACGAAAAGAAACAGAGAGAGAGAGAGAGAGAGAGGAAACAUAGUAGAAGGGAAGAGGUGAGAACUCGAUCGAGAGUUUGGACUGGAUUACGGUAGAGGAGGAAGGAACAAAACCGAGAGGACGACAGGGGAGCGAGAGUUUCGGGGUGACAACAACGAAGAACCAAAGGGAUGACGGGCUAUGCCGAGAGUAUAGGGGUUGGGAAAUUUGAACUUAUUCCAAGGGUAGAGUUUAGAUUGCAAUUGGGUAAUUAACGAGCUUGCUAGGAGCCGAGGAGAAUGAGACUAUACACCCGGAAGGCUCUACUCGUUGAGUUAUCAUUUUAGGGGUUUUUGUGAGUAUUUUUAUUUCACUAUAGAAUGAAACUAAAUCUUAAAUUAAUUAUAUCAAUGUUUGUUUGAGUGAGAUAAGUUGAAUGAAGAUAGUAUGAGGAUUUAUUGUAAAUGAAUUCGAUUAAUAGUGGUGUGGUGAUAUUACUGUUUAUGGCCAUGGGACCACUGAUUCGAUGAGAUACAAAAAGAGAUGUCUAGAUUGCUAAUUUGGCAGGAUACAAAAAGGGACGUCUAGACUUCUACUACCGGAGGAUAACGGGCAACCCCCGCUUAUGAAAAAUCAAAUGAAGAUUUUUUAGAUGAGCUAGGAGCUAGACUAGCAGUACGGGAAAAUCGUUUUGGACAUCGGGGAUCAACGUGAAGAAUAUUGUAGCUAGACCCACUCGUAACAUAUGUAGUAAGUUCAUGUAGUGUGUUAUAAAUAUGUUAUAACCUGAAACUUUUAUUUAGUAGGUUUAUUGAGGAUGGUGAAAAGAGUACUAUCUUGAUAUGUAUAUAGAUAAUAGAGUUUAUUGGAUUUGUUACAUA